GGGGGGGGGUGCGUCUGGACGCGCCUAGGAGCCGGUCGUCCGGGCGCUAGCUGCGCCGUUUAUAUAAAUACCAUGUAAUUAUAUUUGUUUUACACACUAUAGGUACAACACAAACAAUAUAUAACUAAACGGUAGUUGUAGGUCGGUAGCUCGUACCGAAGGUUGGUGUGGACUAACACUCAGUCCACCUAUCGAAAUAGUUUAUACUAGACUUUUGUUAUCUACUCCCACUGUUCCAAAUUAUAAUUCAUUUUAACUUUUUUAGUACAUAGAUUUGUUAUGUAUCUAGAUAUAUGUAUAUAUAGAUGGUAUAGUAGAAUUAAUAUAAAAAACAAAUAGUUUUAGAAGAAGUGAGGGAGUAAAACUUAAUCGUAAUAUCGAAAUAGAUCCUUGUAUGGCCCAAAUCCAUUUGGGCAGUCCUGGAUUGCUCUUCGGCGUUCGACGCGUCAGCGCAAACCGCUUCUGUACCUUUCUUUUAUUGGUUCUUCUCAAAUAUAUUUCCCCUUUCAUGGCAACCAAUAUAUUCUGUGCACACAUGUACGGAUAUUUUUAUUCUUUUUACCAUUUUUUCUUUUUUGUUAUACUAGCAAAUAUGCUUGUGCGUUGCAACGGGAGAAAAACAUCAAAUGGUCAUAGAAAAUAAUGACAUCAUAUUAUAUAUCUAUUUAUAUUUAUCAUUUUUUUACAAAAUUUAAAGUCCAUAGUUUAUUUUAUUGAUAACCAUAAUAUCUAUGGUAUUAGAUAGUUA
rnacentral:lncRNA from 1 species